AUUGAACGCUGGCGGCAGGCCUAACACAUGCAAGUCGAACGAGUGGCGGACGGGUGAGUAAUGUCUGGGAAACUGCCUGAUGGAGGGGGAUAACUACUGGAAACGGUAGAUAAUAACGCAUACCAUCAGAUGUGCCCAGAUGGGAUUAGCUUGUUGGUGGGGUAACGUCUCACCAAGGCGACGAUCCGUAGCUGGGCUGUGAGGAUGACCAGACACACUGGAACUGAGACGAGGUCCAGACGCCUACGGGAGGCAGCAGUGGGGAAUAUUGCACAAUGGGCGCAAUCCUGAUGCAGCACUGCCGCGUGUAUGAAGAAGUCCUUCGGGUUGUAAAGGACUUUCAGCGUGGAGGCGUUACCCUCAGAAGAAGCACCGGCUAACUCCGUGCCAGCAGCCGCGGUAAUAC
rnacentral:rRNA from 1 species